CUCCGCCGGGCGAAGGAAUUCCAGCCCCGCAAAAUGGCUCCAGAGUGUCUCCCGUGACUCGCUCGGUGGCUGCGGAAGGCAAGAGGAAUUCUUCACUGAUUAAAAUCUGGUUACAAAACAAGGGACCUAGAGAGAUGUUCACUUCACCACUUCUCUACAGAUGCCUCCUGCUGCUUCCAACUUUUCUCCUUUAAGGCAGGGUGAAUCCAAAUCAUGGUCUUAGCCCUGAAGGAGGCACCAAAGCAGUUUCGUUGCCCUGUGAAAAGCUUCUAGAGGAGCUCAUCUGAAUGCUUGAAGAAACCAGCCGCCCUUGCAAUUACCUAAAAGGAAUUGAGUCAUUUUAACAAGACAUUAUUUCUGCCAUCCACGGUCACAAUCAUCUCUUUGAAAAAUAAAUACUCUUGGUUUGUUGUUU
rnacentral:lncRNA from 1 species